rnacentral:rRNA from 1 species
GACGAACGCUGGCGGCGUGCUUAACACAUGCAAGUCGCACGAAGUGGCGAACGGGUGAGUAACGCGUAAUCCACCUGCCCUUCAGAGGGGGACAACAGUUGGAAACGACUUCUAAUACCGCAUACUGAAGCAGGGGAUUGCGUCUGAUGAGCUAGUUGGAGGGGUAACGUCCCAACAAGGCGAAGAUCAGUAGCCGGUCUGAGAGUAUGAACGGCCACAUUGGGACUGAGACACGGCCCAGAAUCCUAAGGGAGUCAGCAGUGGGGAAUCUGCCGCAAUGGACGAAAGUCUGACGGAGCAACGCCGCGGGAGUGAUGACGGCCUUCGGGUUGUAAAGCUCUGUUAAUCGGGACGCGGUACCGGAAUAGAAAGCCACGGCUAACUACGUGCCAGCAGCCGCGGUAAUAC